GAAAGAUCUCCCAUGCUCAUGGAUUGGCAGGAUUAAUUUAGUAAAAAUGGACAUUUUACCAAAAGCAAUCUACAGAUUCAAUGCAAUCCCCAUCAAAAUACCAAUCCAAUUCUUCAAAGAGUUAGACAGAACAAUUUGCAAAUUCAUCUGGAAUAACAAAAAACCCAGGAUAGCUAAAGCUAUCCUCAACAAUAAAAGGACUUCAGGGGGAAUCACUAUCCCUGAACUCAAGCAGUAUUACAGAGCAAUAGUGAUAAAAACUGCAUGGUAUUGGUACAGAGACAGACAGAUAGACCAAUGGAAUAGAAUUGGAGACCCAGAAAUG
rnacentral:lncRNA from 1 species